AACGCGAAGAACCUUACCCAGGUUUGACAUGCAGAGGACGACGCUAGAGAUAGCGUUUCCCGCGAGGGUCUCUGCACAGGUGCUGCAUGGCUGUCGUCAGCUCGUGCCGUGAGGUGUUGGGUUAAGUCCCGCAACGAGCGCAACCCUUAUCAUUAGUUGCCAACGCGUCAAGGCGGGAACUCUAGUGAGACUGCCUGGGUUAACCAGGAGGAAGGUGAGGAUGACGUCAAGUCCGCAUGGCCCUUAUAUCUGGGGCUACACACGUGCUACAAUGGCCGGUACAGAGGGCAGCGAACCCGCAAGGCGAAGCAAAUCCCCUAAAGCCGGCCCCAGUUCAGAUUGUAGUCUGCAACUCGACUACAUGAAGUUGGAAUUGCUAGUAAUGGCGUGUCAGCUACAACGCCGUGAAUACGUUCCCGGGCCUUGUACACACCGCACGA
rnacentral:rRNA from 1 species